UACAGAGGGUGCAAGCGUUAAUCGGAAUUACUGGGCGUAAAGCGCGCGUAGGCGGCUUUGCAAGUCGGGUGUGAAAUCCCCAGGCUUAACCUGGGAACUGCAUUCGAGACUGCAUUGCUAGAGUAUGGGAGAGGGAAGUGGAAUUUCCGGUGUAGCGGUGAAAUGCGUAGAUAUCGGGAGGAACACCUGUGGCGAAAGCGGCUCACUGGACCACAACUGACGCUGAGGCGCGAAAGCUAGGGGAGCAAACAGG
rnacentral:rRNA from 1 species